GUGACCGUAAAUGCGCACAGUGUAGCAGGAAAUGAAAUUCGCCGGCGCAUCACAUGAUGUGGAUGUGACUGGUUAUAUAAAAGUAUAGGGCACAGUUGGAGUGAACCAGAUAGGAUGAUGCCUGUCAUUUUAAAGACUAACGCUCUUCUCGUCUGUGUCUGGAAAUUUCGCCUCUGCGUGACCUUGUGAACUUGUCUGCCGCGUGACCUCCAAAAAUCCCUCUAACGGCUCCCCGACCACCCCUCUACAUCUUUGCGCUCAUUUGUACAGGCUAUUAUCCAGGCAGGAAGUGACAUCAACGGGUCCAAACUAAAAAUAUGUCGCAGGACGUGCAGUCUAGGAUGUCCAGGACCGGUGUUUGUACAGGAGGAUGCCUUGCACCGGCUCUACAAAGUGAUGCUCACUGAAGGAUGCAGGAGAGCGCCACACAGGCGAGACACACAGACGUACUGGAGGCUGAGCUCUCUAUCAUGGCUGUCUGGAGAGCACAGUGCUGUUUGCUCCCCACUUAUAGCUGAGCACCAGCAACUGUGCCCUGUCCUGAGUAGUCUGCGUUAAGAUAUGCAUUGAUUAACUCCUUGAAAGCAGUCACCCAUGAAAGGACAGAAACGCUGCAGCGAGCCUGACCGGAGACCUAGCCCUGAAGAUCCAAAGCUCUCAUCAUUUAUUUAUCCACACACAGGCAGACAAUACAACACAACACAUGCCCCUCCUGUACCAGGACCAGCAUCUGCCAGUUAGAAGAGGGUUCAGCAAAGUUUAGGUGGGGUUAGGUGGGAACGGGAUGGACCAGCUCAGCUAGCACACACUCACACACGCACAAGGCACAAUCAGAACAUAAUCUGCACCUUUUUGUCUGUAGCUGAACUUCUUCAGUGUUGUCAUGGCGAUGUAAUUUUCUCCCCCAGAGGGGCUGUUGUUCUGUUGCCAAUUGGACUGUAAUGUUGGUGGUGGCUGAAAGGAAGGAGGGGGGGGGGCAGGGUGCACUUGACUGUACUCUGAUAAGGAGUUCUUUGAGGAGAAAGCUAUGAUGUACUGAACUUGAGAAAGCCUUUUGAUCUCAGUUUGUAUGCUAAUGAAUCUGGUCUUAUGUAUGCAUUGUAAAGCAACUCUUUGCCUUUGUUUAUUUAGAUGGGUUUAUGUGGAGCCUUUAUCCUUCAGACGUUAUUGUGUCAUUUGCAUUAACCUCAUUCCAAAGAUAAUUGCAGCGGUUGCAGGCUUUCUUUCAAUUUGCCUGUUUUGUGUGUGCUCCUGCACACACAGCCAAACUUCUGUCUGUUUGAUAGCCUGACUGCAAGCCCCUCUCACUUUGCAGACUUCUGUCUCCCUCAGCACACUUGCUCCCGCAGCACUCAUCCACGAGCAACGCACUCAUUCACACGCACUUUCGCAUGACUACACAAAUGCACAAACAGGACUUUCAGCCUUCACUGGCUCACGCACACAAAACACACUCGCUUACUCGCUCAGGAAUUAUCGCGGUAGUAAAACUAGAGAGGAAGAA